rnacentral:lncRNA from 1 species
UAAGAGGAUGGGAAUAUUGAGAGUGUGUGUGUGCGGGGUCAGCAUGUUUACUCACACUCUCCUGCCUGGGAUUGCGCCUGGGCAGGGAGGAUUGCGAGCUCUCUGGAUGUGGAUGCAUGCGGCCGAGGAAGGGAGAGGCUGAGAAAUGCGCCAGAAAGUUUAGGAUUUGCCAGUUUUUCCCGAUUCUGGAGUGGGCAAGGCUGGCAUCACCGGGGCAGGUCUGACACGGGAUGCAGCAGAGUGGGGAGGACAGGAGCCGAGGCGAGCGAGGCUCUGAGCCUUCCUCGGCGAGUGGCGUUUUCAUGCAAAACGCCCAAUGGAGAAUUGUUUUAAAUGCAUUUCGCUAUCUCCCCUGCUCUUCAGCCUCCCCCCAAAAGUUGUCAAUAAUUUGAAACCUGCAGAUCUCGGCAACACUUUUCUUCCCAGACAACUGGCUAGCAUUUUUUUUUUUUUAAUAUAUAUUUUUUUCGCUUUUUGGUAAACGACUUUUAAGUUCCAGUCAGUACUUUCACUUCUUGCUUUAGGAUCCCAGAAGCUAAGGUGUUACUUCACCCAGCUUCGCAAAAUAAAAUAAAGAAAUGAAACUAAGUAAGCAGACAAAACAGCAAACUUUCUGGUUGGGGAAACACAUCCUCGCCGGGAGCCCUGCCCCGGGCUGGGGCUCCAGCGGUGCCCGGCCGCGCCGGCUCGGCGUUACCAUUAACAGUUUUGGCCAGAAAUGGUGAGAAGCAAAAGCAUGAAGAAGCCGCGAAGUGGAGGAGAAAAGGUGAAGGGAGAUGCAGCUCCUGGAGAAAUUGUAAAAAGCCUUGCAAAGAGUUGUCGGAAGGACCGUUAUUCCUGCUGGGCAGGUUAGGACUGAUCUCUUUCUGCCACUCCAGGAAACACAAACCUGGGGACGGACUGACGUGUUACGCCUCUUCUAAUGACAUUUUUUUCUUUUUCUUUUCUGUAGGAGCGAGAGGAGAGACCCUGAAACACACGCCACCUAUCUUUGUGGGGAGGGAUAAUUGAAGAGCACCAAACGUGAGCAUCAUGUGGAAACGUGAUCGCCAAGUUUCUCUCUGGGAAAGGAUCUGGGAUAGAUUAUACCUUGAAGUCUCCGCGAAGGGCUUUAGCGGCACAAAUGCAAUUCCACCUCCUCCCGCCCGCCCCCCGCCCCGCGCCCGCCCCCCGCCCCGCUCCGCGCCGCUCCGCGCCCCGCGGCCCCCCCGCAG